UGCGUAGGCGGAAGAUUAAGUCAGUGGUGAAAGUUUGCAGCUUAACUGUAAAAUUGCCAUUGAAACUGAUUUUCUUGAGUGUAAAUGAGGUAGGCGGAAUGUGUUGUGUAGCGGUGAAAUGCUUAGAUAUAACACAGAACACCAAUUGCGAAGGCAGCUUACUGGGAUACAACUGACGCUGAGGCACGAAAGCGUGGGGAUCAAACAGGAUUAGAUACCCCUGUA
rnacentral:rRNA from 1 species